CUAGGAUCAAGCAAUCCUCCCACCUCAGCCUCCCGAGGAGCUGGGCCUACAGGAGUCAGAGCCUGACAAAGUGAAGAGAUGAUGCCGUGCCUGGGAGGGUGGCUGGAGAGUCCCCCAUCACUGCUAGUAUGGGAACGGUGAUGGUUUGCAGAGAGGAGGUGUGGAUAGAAGGGCCAUCAGAAAAGAGGAGGGAAGAGCUGGAGCUGUGAAGAAAGAUGAGAUCAUUGAGAGCUGUUGACUCCCAAGAAUCAAAACGAAGCCCUGCUCUGAGGCUUGUGGGUGAGCGUGGUGACCCUCCUUUCUUCUGAAGUGUCUUCAUGUCUUCUCAUUUUUACGUAGUUGUGGCUACUCUUUGGGGAAAGUGUGGCUUCUUUUCUCUUUCUGCACAGAAGCAAUGCAAGGUUAUAGACUCUGGAAUAUAACCAGAAUAUGGACUCUGGAAUAUGGCCAGAAGGAGCCACGAGAAGGGUAGGGGAAAUGUCUGUUUUACAGAAGAGGACCCUGAAUCUUAGCUUGCCGAAGCCACAGAGCUCACAGGGGAAUUUAGUUUAUUGACUUCUAGCUUGGAAUUCUUUGUUACACAAGUGUUGAGGAUCAGAAAAUAAUGCCCCAAAUGUGGCAUUUGACAAGCUGAACUAAAGCAAGCUCUCUCUCUCUUGACUUUCCCCCACCAUGGUGUCUUUCUGACCCUUUCUUUUCUUUCUUUCUUUUCUUUUCUUUUUUUUUUUUUUUUUUUUUUUUUUUGACACUCUUCUAAAGCACUAGGAGCAUGCUAUCUCUCUCUGACCCUUUCUUUCCUUUUUUUUGGACCCUUUCUUUUUCUAAAGCACCAGGAGGAGCUCUUUCUCUGGAAGUUCUCUUACCUGAUUGAGAAAACUUCUUCUAAAAUAAAUGCAGUUGUCUUAAAGCCCCCUCCCUAUGAGUCUCAUUAAAUAACCAGGAAUGAUUAAUCACCCAAAAAAAGACUAAAAAAGAAGCUACAGCCAGGAUACCAUACCAGACAGACUUUUCAUCAUUUCUUCUGAGGGCAGUUUCAAGAGAUAACCUGGGAGACUAUAUCCGCAUAAUAAGACAACCUUGGUUCACAGUGCAGUACCACCCCUCACCUUUCAUGACUUGUCCACAAGCUAUUGUUUGUCCUUCAGUCCCAUUCAGCGUCCAAAGAGAAUCAUUUACAAACCACUGUCAGGUCUUUGAGUCCAUUCAUUUAAAGCCCCCCCACUUCCCUUUCCCCAGUGAAGAGAGUACUUAAGUGCCAACCAUUGGGCCUUUCUGUGUAUGUUCAUAUUUUUUAUAUGGCUCCCCUGCUUCAUGCAUGUUAAUAAAUUUGUUAUGUUUUUCUCCUGUUAA